UGCAUCGGCCGGCAAUCGAACCAGGCCGCCCUCGUGGCAAGCGAGCAUUCUACCACUGAACCACCGACGC
rnacentral:tRNA from 1 species